rnacentral:lncRNA from 1 species
UAGAUUAGUUUAACAUGUGAAAUGUCCGUAAAGUAUCAUCACAUGAUUGGCUUUAGGGCACAUUUCCAACAUAUAGUUCGUUGUUCACAUAACUCUAACUUGUCAAAUAUUCACUCAGAUAGUUAUACCACAUUCGUCAAAAUUAUUUCAAUACGUAGAGAUUUCCUCAAUCUAAUCGAGAGAGUGUUUCGUGGUCUAGAACUAUUUGAACUAUUCAAUGGAUGUUCUUCUGGAACUUUCAUGUAGAUUUUGUAUCUAGAUCCCUAUAGAGAUGCGCGAUUACCACGUCCAUAAGUUGCAUAUUCAGUUUUUCAGAAACUACUAAACUGAUAAGGUAGUGGAACGUUAUGAUGUCCAUUACGGGGGAAUACAUCUCCUCGUAAUCAACCUCACUAUUUCAUUCUUCUCAUUACGCUUCCUUACAAAAAUCCACUUGUAGCCCAUAGGCUUCAUAUAUGGUGGAAUAAGAGCUACAGGCCCAAACACCUUACAUUUUGCAAGCGAAUC